CGCCUUGCCAGCCCGCUCAGAAACUUAAAGGAAUUGACGGGGGCCCGCACAAGCGGUGGAGCAUGUGGUUUAAUUCGAUGGUACGCGAGGAACCUUACCAGGGCUUGACAUACGUUGGAAGCGCAUCGAAAGGUGCGUGCCGCUUGCGGCCGGCGUACAGGUGCUGCAUGGCUGUCGUCAGCUCGUGCUGUGAAGUGUUGGGUUAAGUCCCGCAACGAGCGCAACCCUUGUCCUUAGUUACCAGCACGUUAUGGUGGGCACUCUAAGGAGACUGCCGGUGACAAACCGGAGGAAGGUGGGGAUGACGUCAAGUCAUCAUGGCCCUUACGGCCUGGGCUACACACGUGCUACAAUGGUCGGUACAAAGGGUUGCCAAGCCGCGAGGUGGAGCUAAUCCCAUAAAACCGAUCGUAGUCCGGAUCGCAGUCUGCAACUCGACUGCGUGAAGUCGGAAUCGCUAGUAAUCGUGAAUCAGAAUGUCACGGUGAAUACGUUCCCGGGCCUU
rnacentral:rRNA from 1 species